AUUCUUUUAGUAUUGACCAGUACAAUUGA
rnacentral:tRNA from 1 species